rnacentral:rRNA from 1 species
UACUCCUACGGGAGGCAGCAGUGGGGAAUUUUGGACAAUGGGCGAAAGCCUGAUCCAGCCAUGCCGCGUGCAGGAUGAAGGCCUUCGGGUUGUAAACUGCUUUUGUACGGAACGAAAAGACUCUUUCUAAUAAAGAGGGUCCAUGACGGUACCGUAAGAAUAAGCACCGGCUAACUACGUGCCAGCAGCCGCGGUAAUACGUAGGGUGCAAGCGUUAAUCGGAAUUACUGGGCGUAAAGCGUGCGCAGGCGGUUAUGUAAGACAGAUGUGAAAUCCCCGGGCUCAACCUGGGAACUGCAUUUGUGACUGCAUAGCUAGCGUACGGUAGAGGGGGAUGGAAUUCCGCGUGUAGCAGUGAAAUGCGUAGAUAUGCGGAGGAACACCGAUGGCGAAGGCAAUCCCCUGGACCUGUACUGACGCUCAUGCACGAAAGCGUGGGGAGCAAACAGGAUUAGAUACCCUGGUAGUCCACGCCCUAAACGAUGUCAACUGGUUGUUGGGUCUUCACUGACUCAGUAACGAAGCUAACGCGUGAAGUUGACCGCCUGGGGAGUACGGCCGCAAGGUUGAAACUCACAGGAAUUGACGGGGACCCGCACAAGCGGUGGAGCAUGUGGA